UCUGUGCUUCUGGGUGCUUAAUGCAGACAGCAUAGAGCCAGGAAAUGGAGGGGGUGCAUGACUGAGAAUGUUAUUUUACAUCACUGACCAGCCCCCUCCUAUUUUCAAACAGCUGGGGACUACCUGACCUGCAGCUUCCAGGAGAUACCGUACCUUAGAUCCUGACCGUUAUCAUCUGAUGAUACAUCAUCUAUGUGGAUCUGGUCACAGUCCUGAGAAGCGUAUGGAAAAAAAAUACAGCAGUAAAACAAGACAGAAAGCCUUCAUUCCAGCUGAUGAACUCUUAUCCUUUGCUCUGGUUGAUUUUUCAAUAGAAGAAAAAAGUGCUUGGUACAACAGGAUUCCAAAGUCAGAAGAAUUGCAACUAACCAAGGUACAGUCAGUCUGUGCCACGCAACCUGCCUCCACGUGGGACCAGACCCCUGCACCCACAUGUGAAGGAGCCUGAGCUAAUGCAGACUUGAAACAGUACUGCAGGCUUGGAGAAAGCCUCUGCUGCCUCCUUGUGAAACACAAGCUGUUCCUGAGGAUGUGUGGAGAAGCGCCUUCUGUUAUCGCUUAUGCUCGUUCUGAAUGCCGUUGAGGUAUGUCUUGUGCACAUAUGAAAACAACUGAUGAAUGCACAGCUUGUCACUGUUUGCAUAUCAGGACUGUGUGAGAGAUUUUUAAACAUCUUAUGGAUUCGUUUAUCAGCCAAGCUUGCAUCCCUCAUUAGGUGGGGAGUUAACAGUUCCCAGAACACAAACCCUCCAGGGAUGGCUCUGAAAGGCAGUAACUUGUAAACACACUAAUCCCCUUGUUUGUUAAUUCUUCCAGUCCUCCUGUCCUUAAUACCUGUUUUCCAGAGUGCUAGACAACAGUAUCUCCAGAGGGACUGGAGGUAGAAGGUACUAUUCUUUAGCCAGCAUUGCACUGUGAACAAAAGGCAUCUGGGAGAAAAAGCUCAACCCUGGAAAGCUCAGAGUUUGUAUUUUAACUUCACUGUGAUCUGUAACCUUGAGCAACUUCUUUUCUCCCCAGUGUCCCAAAAGGGGAACAGAA